rnacentral:lncRNA from 1 species
ACUGUUAAUGGUUUUAUGGCAAUUUGUACUAAUCCUAUAUGCAUAAAUCUAUAUCCUUGAUUAAUAUAUUUUAAUAUGGUCUUUUUACUUAAUAGACUCAUAGAUUGGUUUUCAGAAUAUAAAGGUACUACCUUUUCUUUUGUUUUAAUUGCUCUCGCUGAUUUAAAAUCUAAUAUACCUGUUUUAUAUAUUGUAUCUAUUGGUGUCUUUGGAGGUUUCCAAUUUGUUAAUUGUUGAUUAUUCCAAAUACUUUCUCUGGAUAAUAUUGUUUUGUUAUUAUCUGUAUUAAUAUUUAAAUCAUUUAU